CACCGCCAACCGAUCAGCAGGCGUUACCGUGACGACAACGAGCUGAAGCGCUGCAAGAAACCGUCUUGACAUCCUCCCGCCUCCAAACAGGAAACCGCAGCGGGGGGAGGAAGCCUCCUCGCCGUCGGCUGCACCUCCAUCGGCCUCGUUUCCUCCAGAGAGAACGCCGCUCUCCUUCACGGGGCGACUUCAGGACUUGUGAUGAAGAUCCGGAGGAGCAACGUGGACCUGAGCAGAGAAUCAUCUCUCUUCUAGCUGCACGUUGAGCGUUGGUACAGAAACGUGGCCCAACCCUGAAACUCAGGCCCGAUUCCAGUCUGCCCGACCUCUGACCCCCGAGGAACUGAGCGUGAGCGUCUGAGGGCUUCAAACGCAUGCUGACCUACGGAGACGGUUCAUAAAAGGGCUCAAACAUUGGAAGAUGAGACGGA
ensembl:lncRNA